rnacentral:rRNA from 1 species
GCCGCGGUAAUACGGAGGAUCCGAGCGUUAUCCGGAUUUAUUGGGUUUAAAGGGUGCGUAGGCGGAUCGUUAAGUCAGGGUUGAAAGACGCUUGCUCAACUAUCGCAGUGCCCUUGAUACUGAUGGGCUUGAAUUCAGUUGAGGUAGGCGGAAUGUGACUAGUAGCGGUGAAAUGCAUAGAUAUGUCACAGAACACCGAUUGCGAAGGCAGCUUACUAUACUGUGAUUGACGCUGAGGCACGAAAGCGUGGGGAUCAAACAGGAUUAGAUACCCUGGUAGUCCACGCCCUAAACGAUGAUAACUCGAUGUUGGCGAUAUACAGUCAGCGUCUAAGCGAAAGC